GGGGGUAUAGCUCAGCUGGCUAGAGCGUCCCGACACGAUCGGGAAGGUCAGCGGUUCGACUCCCCUUACCUCCA
rnacentral:tRNA from 1 species